GGCAACAGCUCAAAUUUGAAAUCUGGCCCCUCGGGGUCCGAGUUGUAAUUUGUAGAGGAUGCUUUUGGUGAGGUGCCGCCCGAGUUCCCUGGAACGGGACGCCACAGAGGGUGAGAGCCCCGUCUGGCUGGCCACCGAGCCUCUGUAAAGCUCCUUCGACGAGUCGAGUAGUUUGGGAAUGCUGCUCAAAAUGGGAGGUAUAUGUCUUCUAAAGCUAAAUAUUGGCCAGAGACCGAUAGCGCACAAGUAGAGUGAUCGAAAGAUGAAAAGCACCUUGAAAAGAGGGUUAAAUAGUACGUGAAAUUGUUGAAAGGGAAGCGCUUGUGACCAGACUUGGGCGCGGCGGAUCAUCCGGGGUUCUCUCCGGUGCACUUCGCCGCGUCUAGGCCAGCAUCAGUUCGUCGCGGGGGAAAAAGGCUUCGGGAACGUGGCUCCUCCGGGAGUGUUAUAGCCCGUUGCAUAAUACCCUGCGGUGGACUGAGGACCGCGCAUCUGCAAGGAUGCUGGCGUAAUGGUCACCAGCGAC
rnacentral:rRNA from 1 species